rnacentral:lncRNA from 1 species
GUACUUUGGAGCAGCAAAAGAUUUGCCUGGUGUUAGAGAGCUGUUUGAAAAAGAACCUCUUCCUCCUCCCAGAAAGACACGUGCUGAGCUCAUGAAGGCAAUCGAUUUUGAGUACUAUGGUUACCUAGAUGAAGAUGAUGGUGUUAUUGUGCCUUUGGAACAGGAAUAUGAAAAGAAACUCGGACGAGGAAGGCAGCCAGGAGAAAGGAGGGGACGACAGCCAGCAGAAGUUCAUUGCUCACGUCCCUGUUCCCUCGCAGCAAGAGAUUGAGGAGGCACUGGUGCGAAGGAAGAAAAUGGAACUCCUCCAGAAGUAUGCAAGCGAGACCCUGCAGGCCCAAAGUGAAGAAGCCAGAAGGCUCCUGGGGUAUUAGGACCCAGCUGGGGCUCUCCUUGGAGUUCUUCCAUCCCCCAGUGGUACCUCAGGACCCAGGGCUGCAGACACAGGCUGGUGCUGCAAGGGCUCCUGCCCCAUUCUCAGCCUUCCUUCCCUCUCCUUGUCUCAUGUUGACCGGAGGGUAGGGGUCUGUCCCUGGUCUUCCUGGUAGGUUUUGUACACAUAUUUUGCUACUGUGUGGAUCCAUUUAUUUUUAUUGUGGAGUGUAUACAACAGGUUGCGAACUGGCUGCCUGUGUCUUAUUUUGACUUGCACUGCCAUUUUGAGGGGAGAAGAAUCAAUUAGUGGCAAACAUUUAAAAAUGCAAUUUUUUGCAGACCAAAGUAUAAUUUUAAAAAAUGCAAAUUUUCUAAAAGACACAUCUCUUGAAAAAUGAGAUGAUGUGGCCAGGCGCAGUGGCUCACGCCUGUAACCCCAGCACUUUGGGAGGCCGAGGCGGGCGGGUCACGAGGUCAAGAGAUGGAGACCAUCCUGGCCAACAUGGUGAAACCCCAUGUCUACUAAAAAUACAAAAAAAUUAGCUGGGCGUACUGGCAUGCACCUGUAGUCCCAGCUGCUUGGGAGGCUGAGGCAGGAGAAUCACUUGAACCCGAGAGGUGGAGGUUGAAGUGAGCCAAGAUCGUGCCAUUGCACUCCAGCCUGGCGACAGAGUGAGACUCUGU